rnacentral:rRNA from 1 species
UACGUAGGGCGCAAGCGUUGUCCGGAAUUAUUGGGCGUAAAGAGCUCGUAGGCGGCCUGUCACGUCGGGUGUGAAAGCCCGGGGCUUAACCCCGGGUCUGCAUUCGAUACGGGCAGGCUAGAGUGUGGUAGGGGAGAUCGGAAUUCCUGGUGUAGCGGUGGAAUGCGCAGAUAUCAGGAAGAACACCCGUGGCUAAGGCGGCUCUCUAGUACGGUACUGACGCUGAGACGCGAAAGCGUGGGGAGCGAACAGG